UACAGAGACUGCAAGCGUUAUUCGGAUUCACUGGGCGUAAAGGGUGCGCAGGCGGUUGGGUGUGUGAGAUGUGAAAUCCCGAGGCUUAACCUCGGAACUGCGUCUGAAACUACUCGACUAGAGUACUGGAGAGGGUAACGGAAUUCACGGUGUAGCAGUGAAAUGCGUAGAUAUCGUGAGGAACACCAGAGGCGAAGGCGGUUACCUGGACAGUUACUGACGCUCAGGCACGAAAGCAUGGGGAGCAAAAGGG
rnacentral:rRNA from 1 species